rnacentral:sRNA from 1 species
UAUUAUAUUGGUGGCGCAGUAUUCUAGUCAACUCAUCUUGCUUUGAAGGCGGGGUUAAACUAUCGCUAAAGGGCAUAUCGAUGAAGUUUCUGGUGCAGGCUUUGAACGCCCAGUUUAGGGCUUGUGCUGGGAGUUAAGGAUUGUGGGACGAUUGCAACGGCAUGUAAUUUAAGCCCAUUUUCCGUGGAGACAUAUUUCGGUGGUACUUGCAUUACUGGAUAUGAAGAACCUGCUAUGCGGUUCCUUUUGAAAGGGGCUGUGUACAGUGUAGCCUGCCUUGCGUGAUGUGCAGGGAUCGGGGAUCCACGCUGAAAACCUAUGGCCGUAGGUUUUGGGUGAUUGCCCUGUGAAAUGUAUAUUGCAAAAGAGGAUAGGAGCUUGAUGAGCUUGUUGAGGAAAUCUCCUAGACUGUUUUUGAGUAUUGAGGAUUAUAGUGUGGUCUAAGUGGCAAUCGAGCCGCGUAUUUUUACGCAGACGCCUUUAAAGGGAAACCGCCCUUCCGGCGACGGGGGGUAGGGGUUUGGGAAAGCCUGCUCGACCUAAGCCGCAAGGUUUACUCAAUAUUCUGCCACCUUCUUUUUU